rnacentral:rRNA from 1 species
GUGCGUCUUCGGAUGCCACGCUGAAACUUAUCAGGAGGAUAGCCCGGGGAAACUCGGAUUAAUACUCCAUAAGAUUUUGAUUGGCAUCGAUUAAAAUUGAAAGAUUUAUUGGAUAAGGAUAGGCAUGCGUCAGAUUAGUUAGUUGGUAGUGUAACGGACUACCAAGGCGAUGAUCUGUAGGGGGCCUGAGAGGGUGAACCCCCACACUGGUACUGAGACACGGACCAGACUCCUACGGGAGGCAGCAGUGAGGAAUAUUGGACAAUGGAGGGAACUCUGAUCCAGCCAUCCCGCGUGCAGGAAGACGGCCCUAUGGGUUGUAAACUGCUUUUGUAUGGGGAUAAAUCUACCUACGUGUAGGUAGUUGAAGGUACCAUACGAAUAAGCAUCGGCUAACUCCGUGCCAGCAGCCGCGGUAAUACGGAGGAUGCAAGCGUUAUCCGGAUUCAUUGGGUUUAAAGGGUCCGUAGGCGGGCUGAUAAGUCAGUGGUGAAAUUUUGUCGCUCAACGAUAAAACUGCCAUUGAUACUGUUAGUCUUGAGUGAUAUUGAAGUAGCUGGAAUGUGUAGUGUAGCGGUGAAAUGCAUAGAUAUUACACAGAACACCGAUUGCGAAGGCAGGUUACUAAGUAUUAACUGACGCUGAAGGACGAAAGCGUGGGGAGCGAACAGGAUUAGAUACCCUGGUAGUCCACGCAGUAAACGAUGCUAACUCGUUUUCGGGGAGUGAUCUUCGACCCCCCCCCGGGAAAAAA